rnacentral:lncRNA from 1 species
CACGACCUUGCCAUUUUAAAUUGCUAACCUCAAUUAAAACGACAAACUAUGCGUGCUCUCGCUUAGAGUAUAAACUUAGAGCAUUUUUCACUAAUAUAAAACAAGUUGAAAUGAAAAGUUAAGCCCAAACUCUUUUUUUCAUGUCAACAAUGAUCAAAACCUAAUUUGUUAGAAUAAGUCAUCAAAUAUUUUAGUGAGCUAAUCUUAAUUAUACCCAAAAAAAUUAGUCCACUCUAAACUUAAAAGCAAG